GCCCCCGUAGCUCAGGGGAUAGAGCAACGGCCUCCGGAGCCGUGUGCGCAGGUUCGAAUCCUGCCGGGGCACC
rnacentral:tRNA from 1 species